rnacentral:rRNA from 1 species
ACCUACAGCAAAAACUUCUCCAGUUAAGCCUGUUCUCGUCCGAUCACAGAAGCAAAGCGCUGUCAGGCCUGGUCAGUACUUGGAUGGGAGACCACCUUGGAAUUCCAGGUGCAGUUUGGUU